GACGAACCGUGCGAACGUUAUUCGGAAUCACUGGGCUUAAAGCGCGUGUAGGCGGCCCGGCACGUCUCCUGCUGAAAUCCCCCGGCUCAACCGGGGAACGGGCGGGGAUACGACCGGGCUGGAGGGGGGUAGGGGGGACGGGAACUCACGGUGGAGCGGUGAAAUGCGUUGAGAUCGUGAGGAACGCCCGCGGCGAAAGCGCGUCCCUGGACCCCGCCUGACGCUGAGACGCGAAAGCCAGGGGAGCGAACGGG
rnacentral:rRNA from 1 species